rnacentral:rRNA from 1 species
CAGAAACUUAAAGGAAUUGACGGGGGCCCGCACAAGCGGAGGAGCAUGUGGUUUAAUUCGAUGAUACGCGAGGAACCUUACCUGGGCUCGAACGUAAGAUGACUGUAGGUGAAAGCUUACAUCUCUUCGGAGCAUUUUACGAGGUGCUGCAUGGUUGUCGUCAGCUCGUGCCGUGAGGUGUCGGGUUAAGUCCCAUAACGAGCGCAACCCCUACCUUUAGUUGCCAUCAGGCAAUGCUGGGGACUCUAAAGGAACUGCCUACGCAAGUAGUGAGGAAGGCGGGGAUGACGUCAAAUCAGCACGGCCCUUACGUCCAGGGCUACACACGUGCUACAAUGGCCGAUACAGAGGGCAGCUACCUGGUGACAGGAUGCAAAUCUCCAAAGUCGGUCUCAGUUCGGAUCGGAGUCUGCAACCCGACUCCGUGAAGUUGGAUUCGCUAGUAAUCGCGCAUCAGCCAUGGCGCGGUGAAUACGUUCCCGGGCCUU